GGCUGGUCCGAGUGCAGUGGUGUUUACAACUAAUUGAUCACAACCAGUUACAGAUUUCUGUGUUCCUUCUCCACUCCCACUGCUUCACUUGACUAGCCUAAA
rnacentral:Y_RNA from 1 species